GGUCCCAUCGUCUAGUGGUCUAGGACACCGCCCUCUCACGGCGAAAACAGGGGUUCGAGUCCCCUUGGGACUACCA
rnacentral:tRNA from 1 species